rnacentral:rRNA from 1 species
UCGGUCUGGGUCAGUAGGUGAUGUUAAGACAUAGCAUUACGAGCGGACAGAAGGGAGCUUGCUCCCGGAUGUUAGCGGCGGACGGGUGAGUAACACGUGGGUAACCUGCCUGUAAGACUGGGAUAACUCCGGGAAACCGGAGCUAAUACCGGAUAGUUCCUUGAACCGCAUGGUUCAAGGAUGAAAGACGGUUUCGGCUGUCACUUACAGAUGGACCCGCGGCGCAUUAGCUAGUUGGUGAGGUAACGGCUCACCAAGGCGACGAUGCGUAGCCGACCUGAGAGGGUGAUCGGCCACACUGGGACUGAGACACGGCCCAGACUCCUACGGGAGGCAGCAGUAGGGAAUCUUCCGCAAUGGACGAAAGUCUGACGGAGCAACGCCGCGUGAGUGAUGAAGGUUUUCGGAUCGUAAAGCUCUGUUGUUAGGGAAGAACAAGUGCAAGAGUAACUGCUUGCACCUUGACGGUACCUAACCAGAAAGCCACGGCUAACUACGUGCCAGCAGCCGCGGUAAUACGUAGGUGGCAAGCGUUGUCCGGAAUUAUUGGGCGUAAAGGGCUCGCAGGCGGUUUCUUAAGUCUGAUGUGAAAGCCCCCGGCUCAACCGGGGAGGGUCAUUGGAAACUGGGAAACUUGAGUGCAAAAGAGGAGAGUGGAAUUCCACGUGUAGCGGUGAAAUGCGUAGAGAUGUGGAGGAAACACCAGUGGCGAAGGCGA